AUAGCUACCAUGUCAUGUAGGGUCUUAAUAUGUGGUUUUAAUGGGUUAAUGAUCAUGUGAGUGGUUCCUACCCAAUCUGGGGAGGUGAGCAUGUCUUGUAGGUAAAAUGUCCCCAAUGCAUUAUGUGAGCCACCUCCCUUCCAGUACAUUCCCAUCACAUAUUCCCCUGCAUCCCUUGGGCUAGGGUGUUCUAUAUUCAGGGUAAGUUUAAUGGGAGUUGAUCCUAUGGGUUUACUCAGCGUCAUUCUAGAAAGUAAGGGCUUCCCGUCUUUGUCAAGUCUGUCCAGUGCAACUUGAGGUAUGUAGCCCCAUGGUCUACCUGUGUUCCACCCGGCAGCUUUCCAUGAACUACAAUGGUGUCCCCAAACUCCUCCAGUCACACAAAUGUAUGGAUCCUUUUUGUUAGGUAUGUCCUUGUAUAUGGCUGCAUAUUGUGUUUGUGGAAAUGUACAAGUAACUAUGUCACAGUAGUCAAAGGUGUAUGUAGCUACAUCAGUAUUAGAAGAAUUGUACCAGAAAGUGUAAACAUGAUCAUCUUUGGUUAUGGCCACUUGUUGGGCCCAGGCAAAGUGUAGCAGCAUAAGAAAACACAAGACACAUAAUAAAUUCAUAUUUCAACAGGAUCAGUUUCUUCUGGAGCAGGCACUUUCUUGCAAUGUGAAGCG